rnacentral:rRNA from 1 species
UCAGGAUGAACGCUAGCUACAGGCUUAACACAUGCAAGUCAGGGGCAGCAUGAAGUUUGCUUGCAAACUUUGAUGGCGACCGGCGCACGGGUGAGUAACGCGUAUCCAACCUUCCCCAUAGUAGAGGAUAGCCCGGCGAAAGUCGGAUUAAUACUCUAUGUUGUAUUUUGAGGACAUCUGACGAAUACCAAAGAUUGAUCGCUAUGGGAUGGGGAUGCGUCUGAUUAGGUUGUUGGCGGGGUAACGGCCCACCAAGCCGACGAUCAGUAGGGGUUCUGAGAGGAAGGUCCCCCACAUUGGUACUGAGACACGGACCAAACUCCUACGGGAGGCAGCAGUGAGGAAUAUUGGUCAAUGGACGAGAGUCUGAACCAGCCAAGUAGCGUGCAGGAAGACUGCCCUAUGGGUUGUAAACUGCUUUUAUAGGGGAAUAAAGUCCACUACGUGUAGUGGUUUGUAUGUACCCUAUGAAUAAGGACCGGCUAAUUCCGUGCC